rnacentral:sRNA from 1 species
GGAUUUGACAAGUUCAAGGCCAGGCACGGAGGAGGCACCCAGUAGACGUAGCCAUUGGGUUGCCAAGCCUGGCCACUGUGACGGAGACCAUUUCAACACUCAAUGUGUGCAGGUGCCCCAGUGCGGCAGGAAAUGAUGGGACUAUCCUGCCUCCCUCUGUUCCCCAGGCUUUCCUAGGAAGGGGCUGGGAUUCCAGUCAGCCCCGCCAGCUGGGGUCCCUCUGAACCUGGGGCUCCCUUUCCAAGUGGGGAUUGGUGGCAGUACCGGCCCCCUUGGUUUACUGUCUUCCUCGGAGUAGGGUGUUGGAAGCACCUGCCCUCCCUGAGUUCAGUGUGUCCAGUGUUCCCAGCCAGAUGCUCAUGCCAUGCCUUUGCAGGGAGCGGGAACGCCGAGAGAAGGAGAGAGAAGAGUGGGAACGCCAGUACAGCCGGCAGAGCCGCUCACCCUCCCCCCGAUACAGUCGAGAAUACAGCUCUUCUCGAAGGUAAGGAAGCCCAUGACCCUCCACUUUCUUGGAAGUAACACUUGUCCUUUGAUGGGAGGUCCUGGCUGUCAUUCCUCCAGCCUCACCCUGUACCCACCUCCAGUUGGAGGGGCUGGUCUCAUCCCUUGGGGAACAUCCUUCCCUCCACAGACAAGUGCCCCGACCACUGAAGCAUCCAUGGCCCCAGGUGUGUGGAUGUGUGUAUGCCCCAUCCUCACGGCCCCUCCCUUUCUCUUUCCAGGCGCUCAAGGUCCCGAUCCCGAAGCC